GUAGUACUCCCUCCGUCCGGAAAUACUUGUCAUCAAAAUGAAUAAAAGGGGAUGUAUCUAGAUGUAUAUUAGUUCUAGAUACAUCUUUUUUAUCCAUUUUGAUGACAAGUAUUUUCGGAUGGAGGGAGUACUUG
rnacentral:pre_miRNA from 1 species